CCUACGGUGCGCUGCAGUGAGGAAUAUUGGUCAAUGGCCGAGAGGCUGAACCAGCCAAGUCGCGUGAGGGAAGACGGCCCUACGGGUUGUAAACCUCUUUUGUCGGGGAGCAAAGCGAGUCACGUGUGACUCAUGGAGAGUACCCGAAGAAAAAGCAUCGGCUAACUCCGUGCCAGCAGCCACGGUAAUACGGAGGAUGCGAGCGGUAUCCGGAUUUAUUGGGUUUAAAGGGUGCGCAGGAGGAGGUGCAAGUCAGCGGUCAAAUUGCGGGGCUCAACCCCGUACUGCCGUUGAAACUGCAUCCCUUGAGUGCGCGAGAAGUAUGCGGAAUGCGUGGUGUAGCGGUGAAAUGCAUAGAUAUCACGCAGAACUCCGAUUGCGAAGGCAGCAUACCGGCGCGCAACUGACGCUCAUGCACGAAAGCGUGGGUAUCGAACAGGAUUAGAUACCCGUGUAGUC
rnacentral:rRNA from 1 species